AGUUCGGAUUNAAGGCUGAAAUUCGCCUUCAUGAAGCUGGAAUUGCUAGUAAUGGCAGGUCAGCAUACUGCCGUGAAUACGUUCCCGGGCCUUGUACACACCGCCCGUCACACCAUGAGAGUUGGGAAUACCCGAAGCCUGUGAGCUAACUUAUAGAGGCAGCAGUCGAAGGUAGAAUCAAUGAUUGGGGUGAAGUCGUAACAAGGUAGC
rnacentral:rRNA from 1 species